rnacentral:rRNA from 1 species
GUAGGUGGCAAGCGUUGUCCGGAAUUAUUGGGCGUAAAGCGCGCGCAGGCGGUCCUUUAAGUCUGAUGUGAAAGCCCACGGCUCAACCGUGGAGGGUCAUUGGAAACUGGGGGACUUGAGUACAGAAGAGGAAAGCGGAAUUCCAAGUGUAGCGGUGAAAUGCGUAGAGAUUUGGAGGAACACCAGUGGCGAAGGCGGCUUUCUGGUCUGUAACUGACGCUGAGGCGCGAAAGCGUGGGGGGCAAACAGGAUUAGAUACCCUGGUAGUCACGCCGUAAACGAUGAGUGCUAAGUGUUAGGGGGUUUCCCGCCCCCUUAGUGCUGCAGCUAACGCAUUAAGCACUCCGCCUGGGGAGUACGGCCGCAAGGCUG